rnacentral:rRNA from 1 species
CUAUACNUGCAGUCGUGCGGACCUUUUAAAAGCUUGCUUUUAAAAGGUUAGCGGCGGACGGGUGAGUAACACGUGGGCAACCUGCCUGUAAGACCGGGAUAACGUCGGGAAACCGGGGCUAAUACCGGAUAGUUUUUUCCUCCGCAUGGAGGAAAAAGGAAAGGCGGCUUCGGCUGUCACUUACAGAUGGGCCCGCGGCGCAUUAGCUAGUUGGCGGGGUAACGGCCCACCAAGGCAACGAUGCGUAGCCGACCUGAGAGGGUGAUCGGCCACAUUGGGACUGAGACACGGCCCAAACUCCUACGGGAGGCAGCAGUAGGGAAUCUUCCGCAAUGGACGAAAGUCUGACGGAGCAACGCCGCGUGAGUGAAGAAGGCCUUCGGGUCGUAAAACUCUGUUGCCGGGGAAGAACAAGUGCCGUUCGAACAGGGCGGCGCCUUGACGGUACCCGGCCAGAAAGCCACGGCUAACUAC